rnacentral:lncRNA from 1 species
CGUUGUUGGCGGCCGAGUCGGGUGGCGAUCGGCUCCUCUCGGCGAGAGCUUUCUUUUGGCAGCAGCGGCGACGCUAGUGGUGGCCGGAAACGGAAGAUCCGGUGGAGAGAGAAAAUGGUGGCAGCCGGCGUUUUUGGGCUUUUCCGGCGAGCUCCGGCGGAGGAUGGAUGAUCGGAGGAUGUAUCCCGACUCUCCUCAUCUCAAGCUUCGCGAUGGCACUGGUUUCGUGGCGAUCGGGCUUCGUUUGCAAAUCGACGGUCGAGAUCGUCCGUAAAUUUCUCCGGAUGAUCGGGUGUCAGAUCUGAAAAUCGAAAGCGGGGAUCGUCAUCAGCGC